UACCUCCUGGUGCGCGGAAUCGUCCCGAGAGGCCCCGAGUUGAGUGCAAGGUCACCGAUUCUUCGCACCGGAUGUCAUGCUUCUUCUCCGAUUCCGCCGCCCAUGGUGCCUCUCCGGCCUUCCCGUCACCUCCAUCGUCUUCCCCGAGAUCAUGCGCAGCCCCGACACCAUCUCGUCCGUCCCGGUUCGUUGCCAGGCGACGAAUCCAUCUCCAACCAGAGCUCCCUUCCGCCAUGGCCUUCAUCCCCGAGCUUUGCCUCGUCUGCUUCAAAGGAAGUCGCGCCUCGUUCCAUGCAACAAAUCUCCGGCAGCCAUGCUUCAGUUUACGUGGAGGCUUUCCAUAAUCACAAUCACCACCCAGCCAAGCUGAUCCAGCGCCUACUGGGCCUCGGCCCGUUUACCCGCCAGCUUCUUCGACGCUAACCGCGCGGCAGGCUGCUAUCCGCUGCUCAGCAUUUGCUUCUUCCCGGAUAGGAUCACGAAGUGGUGCGGUGAGAUAUGCCAAGUUCUUCGGAUGUCCCUCAGCAAGCUUUAACAGGCAAGCAUUUCCCCUAUACUCCUGUCCCUGCAGGAGUCGCUCACCUAUUUUAUUUUGCCUUCUCCCUCAUGCUAUCCUUAAGUUGCGUUCUUGUCACGUGUCCCUUCCACUUGUUACCUCAAGCAGCCCAUAUUGCCACCACCACCUCCUACGGCUAUUGUUUGGUUAUCGAGUCUGCCCUUGCGAGUCGUAGUGCAUGCUAGUGUUGCUUAUCUCGUUACCGUUAUUGUUAUCUUAUCGGGUUAUAUGUUGGGAAGAAUCAUGGUUACUUUAGUUGUUGAUAUUUGUUUAGCGGAGGCAUCGGUGGGUCAGCUGCUUGUUUUGUGACGGCUCACUUGUGUUUCCUAAAUAUGUUAGGACCCCGAGUUCUUGUUAUCUGUUCCGAGACUAAGCGCUCUAACCACACGUGGGUAUGCUUACCAGGUCUCCCCUCGACCACUGCCGAAAUCUACAGCCUUGUCCAGUGGCCACAACUAGUUUGGAUGUUUGUUUUGUUUCUCCCGGGCGUGCAAGCUUGUUUCUUUGUGGUCAGAUGAUAUGAUGUUACUUUUGGGGAAGCCGUGAGUGCCUUGUAUCCCCGUUGUCUCUUGCACGUCCGUAGGUGCGGCACGUAUUGUUAAGAGGUCAUCCUCUAGUGGGCUCUGAUCCUCUUAGCCAUUCUCGCAACAGCUAGGUCCGCGUCAGAGUUCCGAUCGGGCUCUGAAACGGGUUAACUUAGUUAGGUGGCUUCCUGGACAUUGUUGUGGUGAAGGAGAGUGCGUGUCGUGAUAUCCACCUGUCGUAAGUGGGUUGAUCGUGCGUGUGGGCACAUUUGGGCACCCCUGCAGGGUUACAAUCUUAUCGAUAAGCCGCGUCCGCGGUUAUGGACGACUUGGAGCUGUAUGACUCGACCAUAGACAACUUACACCAGCUGUUUCAAUCAAAAUAACUUGCGUAGUAAGUUAGCACAACUCUAAUAAUAAAUGGUUAAAACUUGUCCACCGUGUGAGUGCCUUUGUAAGUACUUCUUGGCGAAGGGGGAAAGUAUCGACUGUGUUAUGUUUGCAGAGUAUAGAACUGUUAGUUUUUGCGCUCUCUCAUCUCCUCUGAUUAGACGAAUGUUGUAGAGUGUCUCUAUAGGUUUUUAGUGCUUGUGCGUUGCCGCUUAACCCCACCAUAUUGCCUAUGAUGUUCCUCUUGUGUCCUCUAAGUCCCCUGCGUGCCUCAAGUACAAAGGACUACUGGUUGAUGAAUGCUUAUACGUCUUGAAGUCUUGUUAAGUACGAACCCGUACUUAUUGCUGCUUCUACGGGAUAUAACCGGGCAGGUAUGAAGAUAUGUUCGAUGAAGACGACGCUAGCAAGGUUACCCUUCCGGCUUGGCCUGGGCAGGGUUAUGGACGCCGUCGUUUAUCUUCAGGACUCUUAGUCCAAUUUGUAUCUUGUCCGCACUCGGAUGUAUUCGCUCUUCUGUAUGAUUUGGAUCUUUGUAUUGUAUCUAUUUGUAUCUUGACUCGUUGGAGUCGUUGUUGUAAUAUAUAUGUAUCUUGUGGGCUCUAUUGUAAUCCUGUUGUAAUGUUACCGCUCGUGAUUGAUUCCACCCGCAUCGCGUGCAUGCUUCGGCGUAUACGAGGCGCUUGGUGGUGCGUCUCCUAGAAUCGAUAUCGUGCGGAUUUCGGCGGAUUCGCUGGGAUCCUCAUGGUACCGGUUUUGGGGCGCCACAAGUUGGUAUCAGAGCAUCAGGUUGACGAUACCCCAUAGUCCA